rnacentral:rRNA from 1 species
GGAGGGUACAAGCGUUAAUCGGAAUUACUGGGCGUAAAGCGCGCGUAGGCGGUUAAGUAAGUUGGAUGUGAAAGCCCUGGGCUCAACCUAGGAACUGCAUUCAAAACUAUUUAACUAGAGUACGAGAGAGGAGAGUAGAAUUUCUGGUGUAGCGGUGAAAUGCGUAGAUAUCAGAAGGAAUACCAAUGGCGAAGGCAGCUCUCUGGAUCGUCACUGACGCUAAGGUGCGAAAGCGUGGGUAGCAAACAGGAUUAGAUACCCUGGUAGUCCACGCCGUAAACGAUGAGAACUAGCCGUUGGGGAGAAUUAACUCUUCAGUGGCACAGCUAACGCAUUAAGUUCUCCGCCUGGGGACUACGGCCGCAAGGCUAAAACUCAAAUGAAUUGACGGGGGCCCGCACAAGCGGUGGAUCAUGUGGUUUAAUUCGAUGCAACGCGAAGAACCUUACCUACCCUUGAAAUCCAGCGAAGUUCCUAGAGAUAGGAAUGUGCCUUCGGGAACGCUGUGACAGGUGUUGCAUGGCUGUCGUCAGCUCGUGUCGUGAGAUGUAUGGUUAAGUCCAGUAACGAGCGCAACCCCUAUCCUUAUUUGCCAGCGCAUAAUGGCGGGGACUAUAAGGAGACUGCCGGUCAUAAACCGGAGGAAGGCGGGGACGAAGUCAAGUCAUCAUGGCCCUUAUGGGUAGGGCUACACACGUGAUACAAUGGGUGGUACAGAGGGUCGCCAAAGCGCGAGCUGGAGCCAAACCCUUAAAACCAUUCUCAGUCCGGAUUGGAGUCUGCAACUCGACUCCAUGAAGUUGGAAUCGCUAGUAAUCGCGAAUCAGAAUGUCGCGGUGAAUACGUUCUCGGGCCUU